GCUCCCCGAAGUCGAUGGCGAUGUUGGUGAUGCCGAGAGGGACGAGGAAGCGGAUGAGGGGCCAGUAGUUGGAAGGAAGCAAGGAUUUCCUGCCUGCCUGCUUUAUGCAUCGGGAUACCACCGCUGGGAUCCCACGAGCCUGCGUCGGAAGGAGCCUGGGAGCUAGAGGAGCCUUGCAUGAUGAAUUUUCUCCAAGACUAACAUCCAGCAAGGAAAGCAAUUCAGACCAGAACAAUAGAGUGGCUGGAGCAGUUUGUAGAGCUCUGUGAUCAGUUCAAAGUUGCUAACUUGAAGAAAAUGGAGGAAGCCUGAUAUGACGAUUUGGUAUCUGUGCAGGAUAUGAGAGAGUCAUUGUCAACCCUGGUAUACCAGUAUGAAAUGGCCAUCAAGAAUUCCUCAUAUAUGACAGUACUUCAGUGGUUCCUCAUGUUUGGAGUAAGAAAUAUGGGCAGUGUAUCUGAUAAGAUCUGCUAGAUAAAUGGUGAGUUCUUUAUGGUUAAUAGUGUACAAUCUACUUAAGCUUAGAACCUGUGACCUCUACUUAAGCUCAAAACCUGUGGCAACCAAACCUCUUCUAGGAGAAUCAAAUAUACAGCUCUCCUUGCUGCCUCUUGCAGGAGGCAGCAAAGUUCAGUGGUAACUCGAUCACUGUGUAAAUGUCUGGCAUUUCCCUCUAUUCAAGGAAAAUUGUAUGGUACACAUUUACUCUCCAGGCAAUCCAUCAAGAGGCCUGUGUAAGCCAAGGAGUGUAUGUUCAUGUCAAAUAUUUCACUCAUAAUUCUUCUUUUUUCAUCCUGAAGCUUGUUUAAGAGUAGCACAAAGUGGAUAUGUGUGGGUGUGGAAGGCUUUCCUAGCUGAGACCCACAUGUCUGGAAUUCUCUCUCCAUAGUCAUCAACUGGCCGAGUAAAUAUCCUGUGUGGGAUCCUUCACAGAAAAACUCACAAUCUCUUCCUUUUCUCUUUAUCAUGGUUUCCCUAUAAUUGUUGUGUGGUUUUGACAUAAGGGAAAGAGGGGAUAGUGUUUUGUGUUCAGAGUGUCUCCCAGGUGCCACUCUGAGGUCCCCGAACAUAAUUAUUUUUGUCUUAUGCAGUUCAAUUAUUUAUUAAUGAGAUUCUAGCCAGUUGUUACUAAGGAAAGAGGAGUUUUCCAAGAAAGGUUGCUGUUAAGUAUUUGAAGGAAACUACAACAGUCACAACCUUCACUAAGUUUUGAAUGGCCAUCUCAGUAACUCUCUUGCAUUCUGGUCCCCGGAGGGCAUCUGGAGAAUGUCAGUUGGCCACGUGAUGUCCUCCACUUCUGCUGAC